GACGAACCGUGCAAACGUUAUUCGGAAUCACUGGGCUUAAAGGGCGCGUAGGCGGGCCGCCAAGUUCGGGGUGAAAUCCUCCAGCUUAACUGGAGAAGUGCCUCGGAUACUGGCGAUCUCGAGGAGGGUAGGGGCAUCUGGAACUAGCGGUGGAGCGGUGAAAUGCGUUGAUAUCGCUAGGAACUCCGGUGGCGAAGGCGAGGUGCUGGACCCUUUCUGACGCUGAGGCGCGAAAGCCAGGGGAGCGAACGGG
rnacentral:rRNA from 1 species